rnacentral:rRNA from 1 species
GACGUAGGAUGCAAGCGUUGUCCGGAAUUAUUGGGCGUAAAGAGUUCGUAGGCGGUUCGGUAAGUCUGGUGUUAAAGCCCGAGGCUCAACCUCGGUAUGGCAUUGGAAACUGCGGAGCUAGAGUGCGGUAGAGGUCAAGAGAAUUCCCGGUGUAGCGGUGAAAUGCGUAGAUAUCGGGAGGAACGCCAGUGGCGAAAGCGCUUGACUGGGCCGUAACUGACGCUGAGGAACGAAAGCUAGGGGAGCGAACGGG